rnacentral:rRNA from 1 species
GCGUGAGUGAUGAAGGCCUUAGGGUUGUAAAGCUCUUUUGUCCGGGAAGAUAAUGACGGUACCGGAAGAAUAAGCCCCGGCUAACCUCGUGCCAGCAGCCGCGGUAAUACGAGGGGGGCUAGCGUUGUUCGGAAUCACUGGGCGUAAAGCGCACGUAGGCGGCUUGUUAAGUCAGGGGUGAAAUGCCAAGGCUCAACCUUGGAACUGCCUUUGAUACUGGCAAGCUAGAGUGUGGAAGAGGUUGGUGGAACUCCGAGUGUAGAGGUGAAAUUCGU